rnacentral:lncRNA from 1 species
UUACGGACCGCAUCCAAAAUAUCCCGAAUCAAAACCUAGAACCUCCGGGGCAUGCCCAAUAGUUAACUAAGUUAAGAAGUACUGCAAAUAAUAUCGAUCAUUUGAAUUGAAAUUAACUAGAAGACAACUUGUAGAACUUUCACAUGUGAAUGGCCCUUUUGGUUGUAGGCAAGAUUACAACUAGCUGGACACCAUAAUAAUCAUAAUUUUGUUUUCAAAACUAAAUUGGAAUUGCAUUUCAUACUUAAAAGUUUUUUUUUUUAUAAUUUCAUUCGUUUAUUAUCAUUUUUUUUCAUGUGUGGCAAAUCAUAACAAUGUCAAAAUGAAUAAUUUGACUAUUUUUAUGAACUAUAUAUAUAUCCCUGUAAUUUCAUAUUGUCAGACAAGUGUUUGAAACAAAAUCAAAGAUGGAAUGGUUAAUGUUUGGGGGAAGACCGGUUUUAUUGAUUAGAUUAGCAAGUAAGCAAAAAUAGUAUUUCAUUAACUCAAUCCUGACCGUUCAUUUCCCAUACUGAGUAGUUUGGACUAUUGAAAAAAAAUUGGAGUGUCUAAUUAAAAGGAAGAGAAUUAAUGUUUUUUUUUUCUUCUGAGGAUGGCCCUUCCAUGGGGCAAGUGAAGGGACAUGUUUGAAGUAGUAUCUAUCUGUCAGCAUGGCGCUAAGAUCAAGCAAUGUGUAACUUAUAGUAUUCCUUGCUUUUUUUUGAAAUUGGAGUUAUUUGGAUGGAGAAAGAUCCAAUUUGAUGAGAAUGACAUUGCACGUUUAAAUUCACUAGCAUCUUCAUCAAUUAGUCUCAGUUUCAUGUUCCAACUUCCAACUUUAACAUUGAUGAAUGCGAAACUUCAUUCACAUGUCAUGUCCCAAUACAUGACGCUUUAGAAAAUAUAGACCCCAUCUGUUGUCACUUGUCAAUUGUGUUUUUCUUUUCUUGACAUACAACCAAUUAAGUUUAGGUUCGACGCUCCAACUAAUUUGAAAUUUUCUUCAUCAUAUCUCCACCAAAAUAUAGAGUGAUUUUGGGUGUUACGAAAGUGGUUCUCAUGUUAAACAAACAAAAAGCUAUCAUAACUUAAUAGGAAAACAACUUAGUUAGUUUCUACCGCGAUAAUCAAAGUGCUUGUGACAUGAUUUUGUAUUUGAUUAUAUGCAUUUGAUUAAAAGAGUGAUCCCAAUAAGUGAGAAUGAAUCCUAUCCUGUGACCCAUGCACUUUAAUUUACAUAUAGAAUUUAUGAUUAGAUUUCGUUUUUUUUUUUAUAUAUUUUAUUUUACAUCAUACAUAAGUAAAUGUUUAUAACCACUUAAGCUAUAUGUCCCUUGCAAUGAUCAGUAUUAUAUAUAUCUAUGAAAUUAAAAGUUCAUUUUAGAUUAGUUUGAACAUUUAGUGUAGCAUUAUAUCUAAUUAAUUAUCUCGACAACUUAACAAACGUUUUUGUUUGUUCUCAACAAGUCACCAAUAUGACCAAGUUCUCCUUCUUCCAUUUCUUUUCAACAAUUUUGGGGGUGUAUUCAAAUAAGAACUUAAAGAAUCUUAGAAGAGUUUACAAAUUCAUAUGUGUCUAAUCAAAAUUUUAAUUGAAUUUAUGAUGGUAUUCAAUUAAGAUUUUAAAAGAAAUCCGAGUGUAUUCAUUCUAGAUUUUAAAAUAUUUAUAAAACUCCAUGCGUAUUCAAUUAGGAUAUGAUUUUAAAGUAUUUUAAAAGAUGAAGGAUUUAAUGAAUUUGUAGUAAUUUUAUAGUAUUUUUAGGCUGUACGAAAUCAGACCUCUACCCUAAAGAUUUAUAAUAAUUUCACCUAAAUUCACAUAGAGUCUAUGAAACUGUUUGGACCCAAAUUUACAUUAUCGGCCCAUGCAAUCAAGGCCGUUGAGUGAGCAUAGCUCCCAACCGUCGGAUAGAAGAGUGAAGAUAAUUUUAUUAUUGUUAAGAGAUAAUAUUAUAAUUUUUAUUAUAAUAAUUAUCUUUUAACGUGAAUUAUCUUGGUUAUGGGAUGCAAACUAUAUCUGUCAUCUGGAAGUAAACAACACAGUUCGAGUUGGGAUUCUUAUCACUGGCCUAUAGGAUAAGGAAAUGGUGACGUGAUGUGGCAGAAGGUUAGCUUACAUGCAUUUGAUGGUCUCUCUUGGGGCAUGCGAAAGAUCAGGUGUGGUAGAGAAUAAAAUAAUAUUCUUUUAUUUUCUACAUAAUCAAAACAACAAAGUGCAUUGAAUAUUGCCAAGAUUGCAUCAGGAUAAAUACUUGAGAUUUCGAAUUUGAUGGAAGGUCAGGUUCUCAAGAUGACGGCAGGUUUUGGUUGAUGUGAUAAGGUGUGGGAUUAGCAACAGAUAAAGACUUAGAGUUACAGUACAAUUGGGAUUGGUUUCCACGAUUUGAGCAUGCAGAUCUUUAUAAAUAUUAAACUGCAGACCAUUCAAGGCAGCCCCACAAAAUCAAUACAAAAUUGCCCUGCGCAAACUCUCACAACUUGAGAUCUUUUUCUUUUCCUUUUUCGCU